rnacentral:rRNA from 1 species
CGGCGUGCCUAACACAUGCAAGUCGAACGGAGUUCUUAAGGAAUGCGACUUCGGUCAAAUGACUUUUGAACUUAGUGGCGGACGGGUGAGUAACGCGUGAGCAACCUGCCUUUCAGAGGGGGAUAACAUUUGGAAACAGAUGCUAAUACCGCAUAAGAUUACAGUACCGCAUGAUACAGUGAUCAAAGGAGCAAUCCGCUGAAAGAUGGGCUCGCGUCCGAUUAGAUAGUUGGUGAGGUAACGGCUCACCAAGUCGACGAUCGGUAGCCGGACUGAGAGGUUGAACGGCCACAUUGGGACUGAGACACGGCCCAGACUCCUACGGGAGGCAGCAGUGGGGAAUAUUGCACAAUGGGCGAAAGCCUGAUGCAGCAACGCCGCGUGAGGGAAGACGGUUUUCGGAUUGUAAACCUCUGUUUUCGGUGACGAACAAAUGACGGUAACCGAGUAGGAAGCCACGGCUAACUACGUGCCAGCAGCCGCGGUAAUACGUAGGUGGCAAGCGUUAUCCGGAAUUACUGGGUGUAAAGGGAGCGCAGGCGGGAUAGCAAGUCAGCUGUGAAAACUAUGGGCUCAACCCAUAAACUGCAGUUGAAACUGUUAUUCUUGAGUGGAGUAGAGGCAAGCGGAAUUCCGAGUGUAGCGGUGAAAUGCGUAGAUAUUCGGAGGAACACCAGUGGCGAAGGCGGCUUGCUGGGCUCUAACUGACGCUGAGGCUCGAAAGUGUGGGGAGCAAACAGGAUUAGAUACCCUGGUAGUCCACACUGUAAACGAUGAUUGCUAGGUGUGGGGGGUCUGACCCCCUCCGUGCCGGAGUUAACGCAAUAAGCAAUCCACCUGGGGAGUACGGCCGCAAGGUUGAAACUCAAAUGAAUUGACGG